rnacentral:lncRNA from 1 species
UGUUCUCAAAGCAUGGUUCUUAGCGGCAUCAACAAACCUAUGCAACUCAAGUAUAUAUGAUGGAUCUAGUCUUGAUAAGUUAUACAUCCAUAAGGACCUCUCCAUCAUGACCUGUUGAAAAGUUAGUAAAUUAAUUGAAAUAAUGUCUACGAAUAUUUGUUAUUAAAAAUAAAAGAAUACCUCACAAUUAAAUCAAAUUGAAAAAGGAAUCAUGGAAAUGGUGAGAGGAGAGGCAACAUCUUAAACAAGAGGCCACAAAAAUGCUUAUCGCGUAAUUAAAUCAAAUUUACAUAAAAAAUAACAUCCUAAACAAUAUAAUUUAAAAAACUAAAAAGAAAACUUACCUUUCUUAGCCACCUCCACCUCCUUCCAAGAAAUGAAGAUCAAAACCUCCACCCUUGUAUUUUGACCUGUUGAAAAGUUAGUAAAUUAAUUGAAAUAUUGUCUAGAAAUAUUUGUUAUCAAAAAUAAAAGAACACAUAACAAUUAAAUCCAAUUGAAAAAGUAAAACAAGUAUCAAAAAUAAAGACAAAACCAUAAAUAUAUAUCUUUAUAUCACUAAAAUAAAUUUGACAAGGUACAAAAACACUGUUGAUUGAAACUAAAUAUAUUAUAUCACUAAAAAAUUUGAGAAGGAAACAUGGAAAUGGUGAGAGGAGAGGCAACAUCUGAAGCAACCUCAUAUAUAAAAAAUGCUUAUCGCAUAAUUAAAUCAAAUUUACAUAAAAAAUAACAUCCUAAACCAUAUAAUUUAAAAAACUAAAAAGAAAACUUAUCUUUCUCUCCCUUCCCAAGCAUGGAAACACCAUUCAUGGAAACUACUACAUAUAUAUUUCUUGGAUUCACAAAUUAGAGAAGGAAACAUAAAAAAGAAGAUAGGAGAGAUAUCAUAUAUCCAUCUUAAGCAACUUUAUUUGAGCAAAAUAGACCAUACCUAGCUAUUCUACUCUUUCUCUCUCUCAUGGUGAAACCCUAGAUCCAAAAAGUAGCUCAAAUUGAGCAAGAGGGCACAAAAAGAGGCAUUAGAGGCAUCAACUAACCUUUCUUAGCCACCUCCU